CUUUCUAUCUUAACCGAGUGGAUUAUUUGGCGCACCCCAAGCAGGGGAACUUACUGUUUUAUAUGACUUUUGAAAGAAUAUUAGAAACACCAGUAUACCAGCAAACACCUCCAUCUCCACCUCAACGGAGCAACUUAGUUAGUUCGUGCAUGAAUUCACAUCGGCGCUAUUUAAGUCAUAGGACUUCAAAAUUUUCUAGUAACAGACAUCGGAAGCUGCAACCUUUUAGAGAAACGUGAGGCAUUUGUCGUCGU